CAGACCGUAAAAGUUUACAAAAAGAAAAGCGACGUAAAAGAAGAAUUAACAUUACGUGAAAUCCGACUGAAUUUUUUGUGAAACCAAUACAUAUAACUUUGUUGCUCAUUGUAGUAGAUAAGCUCCACCAGUCACGAAUCGAGCGUCCUUGUUGCAAAGACCCCUGGGUGAAAGACGCUUUUAAUAAGCCGGCGUAACUUCUUAACGUAACGAAAGUAGUCAAGAACGUGUUGAUGCAAUAACUGCCUAUUUUCAUAUUUUUUAGAGCAUCAAAUCGAAGUUUUCGUGAACGGAUCUUCGGUUGGAAAACAGCUCGACACCACACCUUAUUACUGGCCUCCUGAUGUCAAACUUUUCAUCGGAAGUGAUCAAAGGCACUUUUUAAAUGGAACAAUCGACGACUUAACAUUAUGGGGAGUGCAAGUUCCAGACAGUGAAAUUAUCGACUACAUGAAGCUAGCAGGAUUGACGUGGCCGAUCCACAAGGGCCUGGUGCGAGCGCAUUUCAACAUGGAAGACACUUCCGGAUCUGUUAUCGUAAGCCAAGAAGGAAAUGGUUUCCAUGGUAAUCUCGUUGGAAGGCCUGUCUUCGUUCCUAGCACUGUGGACAAGAAUCGUUUCGUGAUUUCGUAUCCAAACAAUCGUCGAAGGAGAAGCAUUCAAAGUUCUUUGUUCAGUUCCUGGGCCAAGAGACAUUCAGAACUUUAAAGGCUUUGGCUUCUGGCCAAGAGAAACAUAGUUAUAAAGUUCAACAGUGAAACCGGCAAACAAGCGGGCAGAACAGUGUUUAAGAGCUGAGCAACAAACAGACAAACAAGCAGACCUUUGGGAAUGCUAUGCUCAGCGCUGUCAGGACUUGGAAGAAAAACAUCUACGUUCACUUUUGUAUUUAAGAUGAUAUUUAUGUUAAGUUGUAUGAGUUAUUCUACAUUCCCACCAGGAAUCAUUUUCCUUUUUUAUACGCUCAGCAUUCGUCCACUUUG